UGAAGAUUCACAUGUAAAAUUAAAUCCACAAAAGAUGGUAUGGCACAAAUGAAAAUGAAUCCACAGCAUUGAUAUCAAUCUGUUUACAAUCAGCUUAUGAUUGUUAUGUUAUUUCCUAAGAUAGUGUGUUGGAGAGAUUCACUACAAGGAAAAGUUUUAAACCAUAGUUAGUUAUUGAGUACUUAUUUUGUGAAUUACCGGUAGUCAUGUACAUACUGUGGAUUCAUUUAUUUUUAUGGGUACCAACUUUCAUGUGUUAAGAAAAAAAAACAUUUUCUUUGAUUUUUGAUUUUGUGGUUUUCUAAAUUCUACGACCAAGCCUAUAGGAAAUGUUAACUUUAAUAAUAAAAGAUUUGAAUUCAUAGUUCAUCUUUAAUUUUACCCCAAAAAUCUACAAAAAUUAGGAUGCCAUGAAUAAUAAUGAAUCCACAGUAUCAGCUUUUAUGUUCCAGCUUUUAAUAGCUUGAUGGGAAGCCAUUUGAUCAAUGUUUUGUUAUUGUUUUGUGUAUAGAAUUAAAAGGUUGCCAUUGUAAAAUAAACAUGAAAUUUUUAUCAUACAUUAUGAGAUCAUUUUAGUCUUUGUAACAUGGUUACAAAUUAAAAUCAGAUACCAG
rnacentral:lncRNA from 1 species